rnacentral:rRNA from 1 species
GGGUUGUGAGGUUAAGCGACUAAGCGUACACGGUGGAUGCCCUGGCAGUCAGAGGCGAUGAAGGACGUGCUAAUCUGCGAUAAGCGUCGGUGAGGUGAUAUGAACCGUUAUAACCGGCGAUUUCCGAAUGGGGAAACCCAGUGUGUUUCGACACACUAUCAUUAACUGAAUCCAUAGGUUAAUGAGGCGAACCGGGGGAACUGAAACAUCUAAGUACCCCGAGGAAAAGAAAUCAACCGAGAUUCCCCCAGUAGCGGCGAGCGAACGGGGAGGAGCCCAGAGCCUGAAUCAGUGUGUGUGUUAGUGGAAGCGUCUGGAAAGGCGCGCGAUACAGGGUGACAGCCCCGUACACAAAAAUGCACAUAUUGUGAGCUCGAUGAGUAGGGCGGGACACGUGGUAUCCUGUCUGAAUAUGGGGGGACCAUCCUCCAAGGCUAAAUACUCCUGACUGACCGAUAGUGAACCAGUACCGUGAGGGAAAGGCGAAAAGAACCCCGGCGAGGGGAGUGAAAAAGAACCUGAAACCGUGUACGUACA